rnacentral:rRNA from 1 species
AGUCGAGGGGCAGCAUAGGUAGCAAUACCUGAUGGCGACCGGCAAACGGGUGCGGAACACGUACGCAAUUUACCUCGUUCUGGGAGAUAGCCCGGAGAAAUCCGGAUUAAUAUCCCAUAGUAUAAAUGAGUGGCAUCACUUAUUUAUUAAAGUUCAGACGGAAUGAGAUGAGCGUGCGUCCCAUUAGCUAGUUGGUGUGGUAACGGCGCACCAAGGCGACGAUGGGUAGCUGAUGUGAGAGCAUGAUCAGCCACACGGGCACUGAGACACGGGCCCGACUCCUACGGGAGGCAGCAGUGAGGAAUAUUGGGCAAUGGACGCAAGUCUGACCCAGCCAUGCCGCGUGAAGGAUGAAGGCGUUCUGCGUUGUAAACUUCUUUUAUAAGGGAAGAAACCUGGAUUUUCUAAUUCAGCCGACGGUACCUUAUGAAUAAGCACCGGCUAACUCCGUGCCAGCAGCCGCGGUAAUACGGAGGGUGCAAGCGUUAUCCGGAUUCACUGGGUUUAAAGGGUGUGUAGGCGGACUGUUAAGUCAGUGGUGAAAUCUCCGGGCUCAACCCGGAAACUGCCGUUGAUACUAUCAGUCUUGAAUUCUGUUGAGGUGGGCGGAAUACAUCAUGUAGCGGUGAAAUGCUUAGAUAUGAUGUAGAACACCGAUUGCGAAGGCAGCUCACUAAGCAGCGAUUGACGCUGAGGCACGAAAGCGUGGGGAUCAAACAGGAUUAGAUACCCUGGUAGUCCACGCC